UGUGGGAGCGGGCUUGCCCGCGAUGACGGUGGAACAUUCAGAAUCUUAUCGACGGACAAAUCGCAAUCGCGGGCAAGCCCGCUCCCACA
rnacentral:misc_RNA from 1 species